UACGUAGGGAGCAAGCGUUGUCCGGAAUCAUUGGGCGUAAAGCGCGCGUAGGCGGCCUCGUAAGUCCGUUGUGAAAGUCAAAGGCUCAACCUUUGAAAGCCGAUGGAUACUGUGAGGCUAGAGUCCGGAAGAGGCGAGUGGAAUUCCUGGUGUAGCGGUGGAAUGCGCAGAUAUCAGGAGGAACACCAAUAGCGAAGGCAGCUCGCUGGGACGGUACUGACGCUAAGGCGCGAAAGCGUGGGGAGCGAUCCGG
rnacentral:rRNA from 1 species